rnacentral:rRNA from 1 species
UACGGAGGGGGCGAGCGUUAUUCGGAAUUAUUGGGCGUAAAGGGCGCGUAGGCGGCUGUACAAGUCAAAGGUGAAAUCCCUCGGCUCAACUGAGGAACUGCCUUUGAAACUGUACGGCUUGAGGCCGGGAGGGGUAGCGGAAUUCCCAGUGUAGCGGUGAAAUGCGUAGAUACUGGGAGGAACACCAGUGGCGAAGGCGGCUACCUGGACCGGUUCUGACGCUGAGGCGCGAAAGCGUGGGUAGCAAACAGG